AUUGAACGCUGGCGGCAGGCCUAACACAUGCAAGUCGAGCGAGCGGCGGACGGGUGAGUAAAGUCUGGGAAACUGCCUGAUGGAGGGGGAUAACCACUGGAAACGGUAGCUAAUACCGCAUACCAUCAGAUGUGCCCAGAUGGGAUUAGCUAGUGGGUGGGGUAACGCCUCACCUAGGUGACGAUGCAUAGCUGGUCUGUGAGGAUGACCAGCCACACUGGAACGGAGACACUGUCUAGACUCCUACGGGAGGCAGCAGUGGGGAAUAUUGCACAAUGGGCGCAAGCCUGAUGCAGCCAUGCCGCGUGUGUGAAGAAGGCCUUCGGGUUGUAAAGCACUUUCAGCGGGGAGGCGUUACCCGCAGAAGAAGCACCGGCUAACUCCGUGCCAGCAGCCGCGGUAAUAC
rnacentral:rRNA from 1 species